rnacentral:tRNA from 1 species
GCCUUAGUGGCUCAACAGUUAAGCACUCAGCUGCUAACUGAAAGGUUGAAGGUUCAAACCCACCCAGUGGCU